CACAUUUCUCGGGGGUGCAGACUGCGACACAACACCUGUAAACAGUCAGCGUUGACACUCAUUUGAAGACGCGUGCCCUGCCUCUUUUCACGGCCAAACCUACUUCCUGGUGGAGGAGGCAGCGCCUCAGUGUUGUCGUAGUAAGCAGAGGGGACAGCUGAAGUGAAGGUGGAGGCUGCUGUUGAUGGUCUGCAGUCGCGACUCAGCAGUUUAUUAGCGCACUUUUUCUUUUUUUUUGCUCCAUUAAGAAAAAAUGGGAAGCACGGUGAUGGAGUCCAGCAAGGAGAGCUCAAAGAAAAUGCCAAAAAAGAGGAGAAGUCUGCGGAUUAACAUGCCUGACUUUGGUGCAUUUACUUCCCCACAAGCGGAGACUAGUGACUCAACCAAAAGUGGCGCUCAGAUGAGAGAGUGUCGCAUCAGAUCAGCCAGCCCCACCAAAGGAGUGUCUGUGAGAAGCCCAGCCAGCGCCGCUCUGCCCCCAUGUUCUCACUCUGCUCCAGUGCAAUUGAGGACCAGCUCAGGUUCCCCCAGAACCAUCUUCCCCUAUCCCUCCCACCAGGACUCCCCACCCAAAUCCCCCCACCGCCUAAGCUUCAGUGGUAUCUUCCGCUCCUCAUCCAGCUCUACACCUGCAAGCAUCAAAAUCUUCUCCAGAACCAGGAGAGCCUCUGGACUCUCCCCACCACCCACCACCCCAACCCAGGCGUCCAGCCAGCCUGUGUUCAUCCAGGAGGCCCAGCCGAGCAGGCCUAGCCCUGAACGCCUGGAGGCGAAAUCCCUAUCCCGCUCAAUCUCCACACCUCCAGACACAGGACAACGCCUCAGCCUUCCCUCUGCUAAACCCCCGAUCCCCUCCUCGAGUCCUUUGCCAUCUUACUCUACCUCGCAAGUCUACGGUUUAUUCGAAGGCAUGCUGGAGAAACUUGAACUCGACGAUGAAGCUGCUGAACCUGAGAGCGAUAUUUACAUGCGAUUCAUGAAAUCCCACAAGUGCUACGACAUCGUCCCCACAAGCUCCAAGCUGGUUGUGUUCGACACGGCACUCCAAGUUAAGAAAGCGUUCUUUGCCUUGGUAGCCAAUGGUGUGCGAGCUGCUCCACUAUGGGACACAGAGAAGCAAAGCUUUGUGGGAAUGCUGACAAUCACAGAUUUCAUCAUCAUACUACACAGAUACUAUAAGUCACCAAUGGUGCAAAUAUAUGAAUUAGAGGAACAUAAGCUUGAGACUUGGAGAGAGGUUUACCUUCAAGCUACGUUCAAACCCCUGGUCAACAUAUCACCUGAUGCAAGCCUAUUUGAUGCUGUGUACACCCUCAUCAAAAACAAAAUUCACCGCCUGCCUGUCAUCGACCCCGUCACAGGGAAUGCACUUUAUAUACUCACACACAAGAGGAUCCUCAAGUUCCUGCAGCUUUUUAUGUGUGAAAUGCCAAAGCCAGCUUUCAUGAAGCAGACUCUCGGGGAGCUGGGCAUUGGUUCGUACCAUGACAUCGCUUUCAUCCACCCGAACACGCCCAUCAUCAAAGCGCUCAACAUUUUUGUGGAGAGACGAGUGUCUGCCCUGCCUGUGGUGGAUGAGUCGGGCAAAGUUGUGGAUAUUUACUCCAAGUUUGACGUGAUUAACUUGGCUGCAGAGAAGACCUACAACAACCUGGACAUUACAGUGACGCAGGCUCUGAAACAUCGCUCGCAGUACUUCGAAGGAGUCAUGAAGUGCCAUAAAAUGGAAACGAUGGAGACUAUUGUGGACAGAAUAGUCAAAGCUGAAGUGCAUCGGUUGGUGGUGGUGGACGAGCGCUCCAGCAUCGAGGGCAUCGUCUCUCUGUCAGACAUCCUCCAGGCCCUGGUGCUCAGCCCUGCAGGUAUAGAUGCUCAGCAUUGUUAGCCCCAACACCCCCCCUCUAUCCCGGACCCUGAGCUCUCUCCCCCACCCCACCCUCUAACCCCGCCCCAGAUGCCUGUAAGGAGGAGAACCUGACUGAGUGAGAGGGAGGAAGCAUCAGCUGGAGUGGAGACGUGGUGCGAGUAAAUGAUUUUGAAUGUUGAGGUAGGGAGCGCGAGGCUGAGCAGAGCCGGUUUGAAGGUCCCAGAGACGCCUGCAACUGAUGCACUAUAGAGGCUUGGAAACCAAAGAGCUAGACAGCUGAAUGAAGUGGAGUUCCUGCACUGAGGAUUGAUUCUCUGAGUGUUUUUCUUUUCUUUUUGUGGAUUGUUUGAACACUGAUCAGAUGCACACACACACACAGUAUACAAAUACACACACACACACACACACAGUAUACAAAUACACACACACACACACACACACACACACACACACACACACACACACACACACACACACACACACACGCACGCAUUACAGUCACCUGCCGGGAAGAGGUAGGAAAGACUGGUUCUGAUGAAUUAGGGCUUCAGUGUUUUGGGUUGUGUAGCGACGAUCGUGCUGCUGUCAUCGGUUGAUUGAUCACAUGUUGUAGUCUGUACUGAAAGUCAUCACCUCUGGGAAAACCUCUCAGUAUUUGGUGUAGAAAGGUGGACAUUCACAGAAGCGACUUAUUGUUUGGUAGCAAAACUACACAUCAUCUGCAAUGUGGCCAUUUUUGACUGUUGUUUAAAAAACAAUUUGCCUGUGCCAAUAUGGAGGGAUUGAUGCCCAAUCUUUAUUUGUGCCUUUUGUUGCCCACACCACUCAAAACUGACAGCGUGUUUGUGUUCUUUUACUGAUUCUCAAAUAAGUGCAAUUAUUUAGAGCUUCUUUAAGGAUACAAAUGUGUAGAAUUUAAGUUUUUUUUAAAUUCAACCCUUGUACUUCUCAUUCAAAAAGGAUUAUCCUUCAUUUUCUGUGAUUCAAACCAUGUCAAGAGUUUGUGUUUUCAAUAGAUUUUAUUCUAAAAAUGAAACUCCUUAAUAAAAUAAUUUGGGUAUACAAACACAAGGUGGUCAGAGGCAAAUACGAGCCAAGAGCUAUGAGCAAGUUCUCACUUAUUUUACAUCAGUAGUCAUUUAGAGUCAUUGCAACUUAAGGAUGCAUUUUUGUAAUGUUAUUACAAGAGUGGAAAAUGUCUUUUUAGAUGUUAAAAAAACAACUUUCUUUUUACAUUUACUCUCAGUUGUUUUGGCGCUUCAGAUAAUCUGAUACUCGCAAACAUGAUACUCGCAAACAUGCAAAGCAACUCGGUUAUCUCGGCUGUAGCUCGACAGGACUCAUCUCCAUCUGUAAAUAGUACGUUUUCGGGAAACGUGUCACAUAAAGCUUUAUUUUUAUGAAUGUAUCAUGUUUAAAGAGACUGCAGUUUUAAUGUUAUUUUUGUAAAUAUAUUGUGGCAAUAUGUCCGUUUCAAAGAGACUUUGUAUCUGAUCAACAUGUACUGUAAACGUGCAAGCAUGAGAAACUACACUUCAGCAGUAUGAAUGUCCUUUGUUUUACUUUUUCUAUUUUUCUGGCUGCAGAAAAAUAAAUGGACACUGAAUGUA